UCUCUCUCUCUCUCUCUCUCUCUCACACACACACACACACACUCACUUUUUUUUCUCUUCCUCUCCUUCCAAUUUUUCCUUCAUUCUUCAUUUCCCUCUUCUUUCCUUUAUUAUUUCCUCCUCUUUCCUUCUCUUCCUCCAAAAUUUCCUUCCCUUCACCCCCCCCCCCCCACAUACGCACGCACACACAUCCAGGUCAUAUUAAUUAAAAGUCUCCCACAAGGUUACCUACUCGACUCUGCCCUACCCUGCGUGAACCCGCAUUCCUACGAGUGCGGGGAGGUCACGGAGGCUUGGGCGUGAGCGUAGGUGGGGGAGGAGGUGAGAGGGAGGGGCGUGGGUGCUACCUGUAUUGCGGGAGGGAGAGGGGGAGAGAAGGAGAGCGGGUAGGAAGCGGAGGGAAGAAGAGAAGGAGAGAGAGCCCAACCCAGCACCAUCUCACUCCGAGGUUACAAAACACACACACACACACACACACACACACACACACACACACACACACACACACACACACACGAAGCUCGCAAUUAAUGAUGCGUAUAAUACCAAGGGAUGGAGGCGAGGCGAGGAGGUUGCUUGAGGCAGUCUCUUUCAAGCACUUGCAUAACCACGCUCGGCUGGGCACUCACUGUCUCCUCGGGGUAUAUGCAGUGAAAGCGGAGCAGCGGCCGGCGGAGUGUUGAAAUAAGUCAGCCACUCCAAUACUCGGAUCGCAAUACAAAGUCCCAUGAGGAGGAGAGUCGAGGGAGGGAGAAUGACAGAGACUUCGGGGUAAAGAAAAAAUCCAGGUCGAAAUAGAGUCGCAGGGAGAGGAGGAGGAGAGUCGAGGGAGGGAGAAUGACAGAGACUUCGGGGUAAAGAAAAAAUCCAGGUCGAAAUAAAGAGUCCCAGGAAAAGGAGGAGGAGAGUCGAGGGAGGGAGAAUGACAGAGACUUCGGGGUAAUGAAAAAAUCCAGGUCGAAUAUAGAGUCCCAGGAAGAGGAAGAGGAGAGCUGAGGGAGGCUGGAAUGGAAAAGACCACUCAUUUUUUUAACACCGCCUCAGUUCGCCUGUUUGAAAAUCCUCUCGUCGUAGAAGUUACCGAUGGGAUUAUCAUGGACUGUUUUGUGAUCCCAGUGAUGGCUUUACACGCCUUCUGCACUAUGA